UCUACUCUUCAUAUUAACUAUAUUUUAUAACAAUGGGAACAAUAAUAAAAAUCUGGUGGGGUCUCUUUUCGAAAUUUUGCCCAACAAACUUUGGGUAUUGUUUUGUGAUUCGUACCAUGGAUUCUUUAUCCAGAUUUUCCUUUCCUUUGUCGGUCAUCUGUGCAGAGCAGAGUCAGUGUGAGAGCUUGCGUUCUUUCCUCUGUUUCUCUUCUCUUUCUCGGGGCACUAGCUUCACGUUUGCCGUUGGUGUGUGUGUCUUCUCCUCGCCGGAAAUUCGUUCACUCCCUCCCCCUUUGCUGUUCGUCUGUUUCUGAUAAGUGCUAUAGCUGAAUUUCUCCUCUGUUUCUUUGCUGUUGCGUGCUGGCAGAGCCAUGGAUUGAAGCUUUUCUUCCCUUCUUUGAUGUCAUGCGUGAGCUGAAGUGUGGCAGCUCCACUGCACUUUGGUUGUAGAUAUUGUAGCCGACCUUGUGCCUCUUAUAGAUUAUUGAGGGACCUUAUGUUUUUGAAAGAGGAAGCACAUUAUAAUUAUCUUUUUUGGUAAAGCUAAAUAUUGUAUUAUGUAACUAUAAUUUAGUGCUUUAUAUACACUACAGUUAGAUCCUAGUCUUAUUUUGUUGAUAUGGAAUCUGCUGGUGUGGAGCUAGUCUCCUUUG